CCUACGGGGGGCAGCAGUAGGGAAUCUUCCGCAAUGGGCGAAAGCCUGACGGAGCAACGCCGCGUGAGUGAUGAAGGGUUUCGGCUCGUAAAACUCUGUUAUUAGGGAAGAACAAACGUGUAAGUAACUGUGCACGUCUUGACGGUACCUAAUCAGAAAGCCACGGCUAACUACGUGCCAGCAGCCGCGGUAAUACGUAGGUGGCAAGCGUUAUCCGGAAUUAUUGGGCGUAAAGCGCGCGUAGGCGGUUUCUUAAGUCUGAUGUGAAAGCCCACGGCUC
rnacentral:rRNA from 1 species